CCCCUCAAACCUGCUGGGUCACUCCGAAAGCCAAUCAGAUUGUGCGGUGGGCACACGGUGCCCUUUAGAAAACGGCGAAUCACAGCGCCGGGAUUAACAUGAGGUCUCGGGGGGGGGCGCAGGUUGAGGCACGCCACGAGAGAGGGAUAGAGUUCAGAAAAACAAGAACAUGUAGGACUGUUAGGCAGCUGUCAACAUGUCAAGUCAGAGAUAGGCAUGCGUGCACAUCGGUGUGUCUUUGAAACUGUGUGUCUGUCCAGGCAGAACAUCAGGAGAGGGGAGGAUCUGCAGGGGAUAUGGGGAUGUGUGUUAGACUGACACCUGGUGGUCAGGUAAAAAAGUGACACAGGCUCUUUUUCGUCCCUCAGGUUAAAGGGGCACUCACACAUUUUAACACAUGCAAGUCAGUUUUUUUCUAAAUUAUGCAGACGGUAUUUGUGUUAAUCUGAAACUCCAGAGGAGCGUUGUUGAGUCUCGUGUUUACAGAAAAGUCUGUGAUUACGAGGCUGGACGUAUGAGACAGUGUUGUAUUGUGUUGCAGUGUAGGAUCCAGUGAUUUUGGAUCUUUCUGUGGACUGGGAAGUGUUUUCUAAGUGAUUAGUGUCAUAACAUGAAUUAAAAAUUGGCUGAAUACAUUGGUUGAGAGACUGAGCUAUGUAUUUCAAAAAAUAGAUAUAUAGAUAGACAGAAAGAUAGAUAGACAGAUUGUCAGCAAGUUGUUAAGUAGAAAGACACCACAACAUUAGAUCAUUUGACCACAUUGGAAGUUUCAUUGGGGGUUGUCUUAACAAUGGGGUUGACCUUGUGACAUAAUGUAUUGUGUACUACACAUGCACACUCACGUUUAUUGUACAGUAUCGUAUCUUAAUAUGUAUUAUGCAUUUACAGACCAUAUCACAUUCAGAGCCCACUCUGUUUUAACAAUUUUUACCACUCACGAGCAGCAACAGCUUUGUGUGUAUACAUUAGUGAGUGUGUGUGUGUGUGUGUGUGUGUGUGUGUGUGUGUGUGUGAAUGUGAAUGCGACUGUGUGAGCGUGCGUCAGAGGAAAAAGGAAGUUGCGGGACGAAGUUAAAAGCUUUCUACACAGUGCAGCUCUGCAGAACACCCACCACGGAAGAACGGCAGAGCGAGAGAGCGCCCGAAGUCUGAAGAUGAGAUAAUGAAAGGACGACAGGGCGGUGAACAUCGAGAGCGACGACACAGAACUGCCGGGAGAAAGUGCUGAAGAAGAGAAAGAUGGAGUUGUGGCGGCAGUGUGCGAUGUGGCUGAUCGACUGUCGAGUUCUCCCCGAGAACCACCGGGUCACGUGGGGGGGCUCACAGGUGUGUGACCUGGCUCAGGCUCUGAGAGACGGCGUGCUGCUCUGCCAGUUGCUCAACAACCUGCUGCCACAGGCCGUCAAUCUGAGAGAGAUCAACCUGCGCCCACAGAUGUCCCAGUUUCUGUGCCUAAAGAAUAUCCGGACGUUCCUGGGAGUUUGCCAAGAGAGGUUUCAUCUCAAGAAGAGUGAACUGUUCGAGGCCUUUGACCUGUUUGACGUUCGAGACUUUGCUAAGGUCAUAGACACUCUGUCCAUCCUGUCUCAUUCAUCGACAGCGAUACAAAGAGGACUCCAGCCUUUUCCCCUGGAGGAGUGCGCUGCUGACGAUGAGAUCUACAGCGGCCUGUCGGACCAGAUAGAUGAAACAGUGGACGAGGACGAGGACUUGUACGACUUCGUGGAGGACGAGGAGAACGAGGGCGAUGAGAUCUACGAGGACCUGAUGAGGAGGGAUGAACCACCUGAGACUCAACAGAAGACGGUCAUAGACAAACGAGAGUGCUGCCUGCAGGAGAUCAGACAGACGGAAGAGAAAUACGCCGAUACACUGGAAUCUAUAUUACAGCACUUUAUGAAACCACUCGAGAAGUUCCUCCAGGACCAAGACAUUGAGAGCAUCUUCAUCAACAUAGAGGAUUUGGCCUACACCCAUCGCAAAUUGUUGGAAGAGGUCCGCAGCUCCGUCCUGAAAUACGGCGCGAAGAAUCUCCACCAGGUGUUUCUGAGCUACAAGGAAAGGCUCUUAAUGUACGGCCGCUACUGUAGUCAGGUGGAGACGGCGACGAAACACCUCGACAAGCUCUCGAAUACGAGGGAGGACGUCAGGAUGAAGCUGGAGGAGUGUUCAAAGAGAGCCAACAGCGGACGCUUUUCUCUCAGAGAUCUGCUCAUGGUUCCUAUGCAGAGGGUCCUAAAAUACCCCCUGCUGUUACAGGAGCUGGUGAAACACACCACCGACCCAACAGACAAGGAAAACCUACGCACGGCUCUCGACGCCAUGAGAGACUUGGCGCAGUGUGUGAACGAGGUGAAACGAGACAAUGAGAUCAUCAGGCAGAUCACCACCUUCCAGUUGUCCAUAGAAAACACGACUCAGUCUCUCGCUCUCUACGGUCGCCCCAAGAUCGACGGAGAGCUGAAGAUCUGCAGCUCGGAGAAAAAGUCUAAACAGGACAGGUACGCGUUCCUGUUCGAUAAAGCCAUGUUUGUGUGCAAGAAGAAGAGCGGAGAGACUUUUGAGUUGAAGGAGAUCGUAGAACUGCAGCACUACCAGAUACGAGAUGAAACCACCGGAGAGAAGGACAAAAAAAAGUGGUCCUACCUUUUCCUCCUGCUGGACUGCUACGGGAGGUGCGGGUACGAUUUAUACUUCAAAACCCGAGAGCUGAAGAAGAAGUGGCUGGAGCAGUUUGAGAUGGCUCUGUCCAACAUGUGUCCGGAGAACUCCACGGCCAACAACCACGACUUCCAGAUGCACUGCUUCGAGGAAACCUCCUCCUGCAAGGCCUGCUCAAUGCUCCUGAGGGGGAUAUUCUUCCAGGGCUAUCGCUGCACUCGCUGUAAAAUGGCUGCACACAAAGAGUGUUUAGGCAGAGUGUCCGCCUGCGGACGGAACUCAGAUCACUCCGGCACGAGGAAGAAUAAAACGCAGAGAUCCUCCGGACAUUCCAGCGCUGGAUUUCCUAAAAUGGAGGUAUGUCAGGAGUAUUACGGCUUGCCCCCGCCUCCCGUGGGCUUCGGCCAACAGCUUCACCUGUUCAAAGGUGACAUUGUUGAGCUGACCCGUGCUGACGCUGACCUGGCAUGGUGGGAGGGAAGGAACUUGACCGUGGGUCAAAUGGGAUGGUUCCCCUGCCAAAAGGUUCAGCCGCACGUCCCCAAGCCGACCCCCGACCUGUCCGGCUUCAAGUGGUUUGCGGGGAACAUGGACCGAACCGCUGCCAAAAACCUGCUCAUGCCGCGUUCCGACGGAACUUUCCUCGUGCGGCAGAAAGACGGGGGAGAGUUCGCCAUCAGCAUCAAGUUCAACAUGGACAUCAGACACAUUAAGAUCACGUCGGCCGAGGGCCUGUACCGCAUCAACGACAAGAAAGCGUUCAAGGGUGUGAUUGAGAUGAUUCAGUUUUACCAGAAGAACUCUCUGAAGGAGUAUUUCAAGGAGGUGGACACGACUCUGCGGACGCCCUACAAGCAGCCGGAGCAAAGCAACUCGUCCAGCGACACGCCCAACACCACACCAGGGGGCAGCGUGAAGAGUUUCGGCGUGGCGAGGGCCAGGUACGACUUCUCGGCCAGGGACCGCUCGGAGCUGUCGCUGCGGGAGGGGGAUACCAUCAAGAUCCUCUCCAAGAAAGGUCACAAUGGCUGGUGGAGGGGGGAGGUGUACGGCCGGGUGGGGUUGUUUCCAGCCAAUUACGUGGAGGAGGACUACUCCGACUACUGCUGACGUGUCUCCAGAGAAGAGAUGUGAGGACCUCCGCUGUAUGUGCAGGGGGGCGUUCACGUGAUACCGGGGUUUCCACUGAAUCGCAUUAACCCAAAUGCACUUCUGAUCUGACGAUGUCUGCUUUACGUGUGUGAAAGCUCAAACUCUACAUCCCAAACCGUGGUUAUCAAUUUUCUGCAAUAAAGCGCAUGCACUUCUGGGAAGGUUUUCCUCAAGAUUUGCUGCCACUCACCCAUAAGAGCAUUAAAAGUUGUCGAACCACUGAUGCUGGGUGAUUAAGGCCUGACUCCGGUUCCUCCCUAAUGUGUUGGAUGGGGUCGAGGAUGUGAGCGAAUGUUUCCAAGGGAAACAUUUCUGGCUUUGUGCAUAGUGACAUCGCAAUGUUUAGCCUGGAAUAAAUAAUAAAGCCACAAAGCUGGAAGCACGUCACAGUCAAAAAUAUCACUGUAUGCUGCACCAUUAAGAUUUACCUUAACUGGAGCUAAAAGGUCUAAUCUAAACUUCUUCUUUUUUUUUUUUUUUAAAUAACACCAAACCAAAUAUUGGUGGAAUAAUACUCACAGCUUUUACUCUAGUAAAAGUACCAACAUCACAAUUUGUCAAAUGAAUCCAUUACAAAUUUCUUAAGUAAAAGUAUUAUUUCACAGUUUUAAAUGAAUAUAAAUAUUGAUGCAUUAACAUUUAUGCAGGAUUUUAAGGCAAGUGGAACUUCAAUCACCAAAGACUCAUGUUAAUCGUAUGACAGGGACUUUUUUUACCAGCAUCACAUAAUGCUGGUGUAUUAGCUUUUAUAAGCAGUUAGAUUUCUUCCAUUUAAAAGAGAAAAAAUAUGUAUUAGUGUAGUCAAUAGAGUCAAGUCAAUAAAGUGGCAAAAUAUUGUAAUGCUAAUGUACCUUGAGUGUGUAUUUAGGUACAAUAAAUGUGUAAAUGCAGUCUGUUCCCACACGAGAAAACAUUCUAAAGCGCAACAAUGACCAGCACUCUGUCUCAUAGGUAGGUAAAUAUCAGCUUUACUUCCAAAAUAUCAAAACAAAGGUAUUUGCAGAACAACAAUUCUCAGACAUAAUUUGAAGGUAAAAAUUAAAAGCAAAAACUUUAAUCUAUGUCAUGUCGGUGUGAAACCGCUCCUUCGCCAUUUUAGUUGGGUUGUCCAACCAUCAUGGUUUCCUGCGACCCGAUUCCAUCUAUUCAUCUCUAUGGUUGCACGUGUGUGUGUGUGUAGCGUGUGUGUAGCAUUGUCCUGUGGUCUGGUCUACUGGUAGUACAGCUCCAGGUUCAUCCCGUCGUGGAUUUCAUCUGCACAGGUCGUAGUUAAGUACAAAAGCUCAGGACAGGAGAGACAUUAUUAAAUAAAAUAUAAUUUUUU